GCCUGACCUCAGCCGGGGGGAAAGAAAGAGUCACACUCACAGGGCUUCCUUAUGAGUAGCUUUCAGUGCCUCUAUUAAUUUAGACUUAAGAGACGAAUUGAGAAACCUCUAAAGAUAAUGCAGUUGAAAACAAAACAAAGCAACAAUCAAACAAAGGGAAAACAAGAUCCCAGGGGAUUGGGUCCCUCCACCUAAAUGCCGAU